rnacentral:lncRNA from 1 species
CAAGUCGGUGGACCUGCUGCAUAUAAAUAUGCAGACAACCUAACCUAGCCGACCCGGAGUAAACCGAGUCUAACCUGAAGACAGACCUAAGCCUACUCGUACACGGGUGGGGCAGAAGUACUAGUAGUACACGUACGUGGUGAAACAUACUACUACUGUGACAACUCCUACUACUACAUCACGUUGGACUCUACUAAUUCAAGAUUAUUUCUAACAGGCAUGAAUAGUUGUAAGACUAGUGUAUAUGUUUCUUGGGGAACUUAUUGAUGUUAAAUCUGGCCAUCGCAGUGCCUUUGGUCGAAAAAUGAUUACACCGUGGAGAGGAAAUGGAGCUAGUAGAAAAAGGACCUAUAGCCCCGGUUCGUUUGGACCUUUAGUCUCGAUUCACGAACCGGGACUAAACAACCGGGACUAAUGCUAGCCUCGGUUCGGUCCCGAACCGGGGCUAAUGACCCUCCACGUGGCGUG